GCUUGAGAAAAGAAUUUUAGUUCCCCCUAAAGUUACAUUAAUAGUCCUAAAUAAGCCCUUAACUUUAGAGUAAUUCAAAUAGGGUACAGCCUAUUUGAGACAGGGUACAACCUUGACCAACGGGUAACCAACCCUAAAAAUAAACUAAGUGGGCCUAAAAGCAGCCACCUUAAAAAGCGUCAAAGCUUUCCUUUUAUUUUUUCCCCCAAAUUCCCCCCUUCCCUCCGACCCCUUCAACACUAUCGAGCACUUCCAUGAAACCAUGGAACUUAUUAUGUUAAAACUAGUAACAAGAAGUAGCCCUUCUCUUAAAUGUAAGUAUAACUCAGCAGGGACCCACCACUGAUAAUUAAUAACAUAAAGUAACACCUUCUCUAGAAAACCUUACUUUUUCCUUUAUUAACCUAACACAAGUACAUUCCAAGAAAGAUUAAAAGAAAAAGAAGGAACUCGGCAAACAUCGGCCCCGCCUGUUUACCAAAAACAUCGCCUCUUGUAUCCCAUAAGAGGUCCAGCCUGCCCAGUGACUUUUGUU
rnacentral:rRNA from 1 species